ACACAUGCAGUCGAGGGGUAUAGGUUUUCGGACCUAGAGACCGGCGCACGGGUGCGUAACGCGUAUGCAAUCUACCUUUCACAGAGGGAUAGCCCAGAGAAAUUUGGAUUAAUACCUCAUAGUAUUAUAGAAUGGCAUCAUUUUAUAAUUAAAGUCACAACGGUGAAAGAUGAGCAUGCGUCCCAUUAGCUAGUUGGUAUGGUAACGGCAUACCAAGGCUACGAUGGGUAGGGGUCCUGAGAGGGAGAUCCCCCACACUGGUACUGAGACACGGACCAGACUCCUACGGGAGGCAGCAGUGAGGAAUAUUGGUCAAUGGGCGCAAGCCUGAACCAGCCAUGCCGCGUGCAGGAUGACGGUCCUAUGGAUUGUAAACUGCUUUUGUACGGGAAGAAACACUCCUACGUGUAGGAACUUGACGGUACCGUAAGAAUAAGGAUCGGCUAACUCCGUGCCAGCAGCCGCGGUAAUACGGAGGAUCCAAGCGUUAUCCGGAAUCAUUGGGUUUAAAGGGUCCGUAGGCGGUUUAGUAAGUCAGUGGUGAAAGCCCAUCGCUCAACGGUGGAACGGCCAUUGAUACUGCUAAACUUGAAUUAUUGGGAAGUAACUAGAAUAUGUAGUGUAGCGGUGAAAUGCUUAGAGAUUACAUGGAAUACCAAUUGCGAAGGCAGGUUACUACCAAUGGAUUGACGCUGAUGGACGAAAGCGUGGGUAGCGAACAGGAUUAGAUACCCUGGUAGUCCACGCCGUA
rnacentral:rRNA from 2 species